rnacentral:lncRNA from 1 species
UUUUUAUAGACAGAUGGAAACAUGAUACAUUUUGUUUUACAACUUGCCUUUCUUUCACUUAUUUCUGUAGCUUCCAAUACCUUUUCCUGUCAACUGUACUCUAUUCUCAUUUACUGUGCUUAGUAUUCCACUGUAUUGCUUUAGUAUUGCUAUUGCUCUCUUUUAGAACUUUGCAAAUUUUCUUAAAAAUAUGUUGCUUUCUGUGCAAGAACUCAUAGAUUUGUUCUAUGACUCAUCUUCUACAAAAGAACAAAACUUCUGGGUUAUGGAUGGAGGCCCAGAGGCAGAGGGAAUAAAGUACAGUGGAGGGGCACCCAGGGGGCUCAGUGGUUGAGCGUCUGCCUUGGACUCAGGUGUGAUCCUGGAGACCCAGGAUCGAGUCCCACGUCGGGCUCCCUGCAGGGAGCCUGCUUCUCCCUCUGCCUGGGUCUCUGCCUCUCUGUGUCUCUGAUGAAUAAAUAAAUAAAAUCUUAAAAAAAAGUACAGUGGAAAAUAAAACAACAGAUUUUUAAAAAACAUGUAAAAUGUUCAGGUUGAUGUAGAAGGAUUAAUACUACACAGAUUAUAACUCCUGAGUGCUGAUUUUUUAAGUAUAUUCAAGGAACUGUAACAACAAAUUUGUAAAUACUUAAAAUAAUAGAUUAAGAGAAGUCAUAAGUAGUCUCAAAGCCUUUAUAUGAAUAAAUGUUUCUAAGAAAAUUUUAGAUCAAUUAAACCAGGUCUUGACUUGUCUGAUUCCAAGCAAAGAGGUUAUGGCUAGUUCCUCUUUCUUAAUUGAGUCUUCAGCUACGUGGCUCAAAGGGAGAGAGGGACGGAACCAAAGUGAAGUGAAGGUCAUGUAGGUGACCCUGCUGCAAAACACAGCUUAUGUAAAUUAGGUCAGCAGGCACGGUAAAGAGUGAAAUGUGUAUUAUUUUACUUAGAUCUCUGAUUAGAAUCGUAGGUCAAAAUGGGGGCUGAGAUAAUGUGUAGAAGAUUAUCUCUCGUAUCUGUCCGGUGCUGAAUUCUGAACUGUGAUUAUGUUAGGAAUAGGUCUGUGGGCCGGAAAAUUACACUUCGUUAACGAUGUUUCGUAGCGUCCAAACUAAUGCAACUUCAUCUGAAUUGUUUUCACUUAAGAUCAUAGCAGUGGAUAAAGGAGUAAAGUUCUGUAUUCAAUACCUUUGUACCUUUCAGAUUGAUAAGGUGAUAUCUUCCUUGUAUUUUAUAAUAAGUCUCACUUAUUUGGGCUUUGUCCAGUCCACCGUCACAUCAGGUGCAUUGAUACAAAAGAUGUGAUGUACGCAGUGAAGCGGAUAAAGUAGAUUAUAAUUGCCGGCUGCAGUGGGACCGUGUCCUUGGGAGGGAGUUCAGUAUGAUAGGGCAUACAUGGUGUGAUUGUAAUGCGUUUAUUUUUCUGUUAUUUUCCGUUUAAGCCGUCUUAACGCCCUGUGACACGAUCUUUGCUUUAAGCUCUAAUAGUGGAAAAAUUUAGGGAGACUAAUAUGUGAAGUUAAUGUAAUUUAUGCAUUAUGAAUAUAAAUAAAACAUUAAGAACAGAGUAUUAUUAAUAUACGGGAUAACGUACAAUGUCUAUGAGAGCAGACAUCGUGUAUAUGUGAAGGAGAAGACGUCAGAGUGCUUGGCCAGGUCAUAGAAAGCUAAGUGACGUAGCGGCUCAAGUCCUAGGCGGUUUGAUCGCCAGGCAGGCAAGUCAGAUGGCCCUGAUGGGAGAACCAGACCAUCACGUGUUGUGAGUGGCAGUCCGAAUAUAAUUUCUGGAUGAAUCGUGAAAGCACGUAGUGAUUUCUGCCAAGAAAUAGUUUCUGGUUAUCUGCUUUAUGCGACCUGGUACCGAGGGUGAACAUCAUGAAGCCCCUGCCUGUGUGGGAGUCUGCGUUCUAGGGAGAGAUGGGCCUAACAAGUGAAAAAUAAACAGGGGAUGGGGUAUUCCAGAUUAAGUGUAGGAGAAAAAUAAAUCAGGGUAAGAGGACAGAGUCAUGGUUUGAGGCAGGGGUGGUGUUUUAGGGAUGGCCUGUCGGAUGAGGGGACGUUUGAACAGAGACCUGAAGCCACUGCCUUCUGAAGGAAGAGUGCAGGAAGCGGGAGAAAGAGCAAAUGCAAGGACUCUACACCGGAUGCUUAGUUGCUGAGUGAAGGAUCUGGAAAGGAGGCCAGUGUGAGCAGCAAAGAGCAGCGGAACCAGAAAGUGGUGGAAGAUGAGGCCGAGGGGGAGAACCUGUAGGCCACAGAGAGGAUUUUAUUCUGAGCUAGGAAACUGCUGGAAAGGUCUGAGCCUACAAAUGACAUGACCUGAAAGUUUUAGAAAGACGAUUGUACACUAUUCUGUGCUGUGUGGAGGGUAGACUUUAGCUCCCUGCAGCUGGAGUUUGUAAUCAAUCCCGGGUUUGCGUGGGCCAUGAGUCCACGACGGGGGUAACGCAGGAGCGUCUGCACCGCCUAGGUAGACGGUGUUACUGGUGAAGUUUGUCACGGGGACUUGCUGGGAAGGUCACUGGCUCCACGCAGAGUGAUCAGAUCAAAUGCAUGGUGUUCAAGGUCACUGGGAACUUGGGGUAGACCUUUCCUCUGCCCUUCCAGGCUCCCUACAUUCCUGAAAUUCAGAAGAGAGGUUCUUGGCACAGCUUUCUCCUGAUACUGAAUUGCUUGGGAUCGUUAGUAGGAUUCGAGAUGGGGUCAGUUUGUCUUGUUUCAAAACAGAGAAAAGGGAAGGAAUUUAGAAAGCUUGCCUACUAAUAUUGAAAACUCUAUCCUUGCCACCAGUUUUCAGUUACGAAAUUAUCAACUAUAGAAAGAAUUGGUGGAAGUUGUGAUUUUGUGGGAAAAGCACAGGGAUAUACAGUCUUCCAUCAUUACGGGUGAAAUCGUUGAUACGUCCUUUUUCUGAAGAAUAUAUAUAUUUUUUCUGAAGAAGAUAUAUAUAUAGAUAUAUAUCAUAGACAUUGUAUGUUAUCCUGUAUAUUAUAUAUAUAUCAUAUACAUAUGAUGUAUGUAUAUAUAUAUCUCAAAAGCUUCUAAAAAUAAGCUCCUUAAAACUGCAAUUCUCCAGGAAUUUGCCCUAAGGGAAUAGUCA